CCUACCUACAUUAUUCUAUCCUAUACAAAAAUGUCAUCAUAAGCUGUCAACUAGAAAAAAAUGUAAAUGGUAGUCCACAAUCAAAAACAUAACCGCCACACAUGGCAGUUGCCUUGGACACAGCUGAUAAGGCCAAUCAAUCACUAUCAAGAAAUAACCUUAAAUAAAAAUGGAUGGGUGCUGCUUGUCUUCUUGACAAAUUAUGGACCCCUGUUACACACAGUUUAGAGUUGCAGGACAUGCCUUUAGUCAUCUCUGAAAAAGAAUCCUGUUAGAAUCUGCCAACACCAUGAAACGUCUGCUACAAAGAAGAAACUGGAUUAUGAUACUGCAGGUACAAACACCCUGAACACUUGAUGCAUCCCCCGACAGACGAGCGCAGAGAGAACCAGAGCUGUUGGACUUAUUAUCAAACCACGCAACCUCCUGCCGCACCAUUGCUUCAAACAACUGCCCACGAAGUCGCAUUGUCAGCUUCUCACCAGCUAUUCCAUAUGUGUAAAUCUGAAAUAAUGUACAAUUAUUAGCAUUAAAUAUUAGUCUACUACAAUACAAUGAUUUUCUUUAGUUGUAAGUUCUGAGGAGAAUCAUUUUGUAUUCAUGUAAAUACAUGUUAUAAUGUAAUAAUAUAAUGUUACAAUGUACCAGAAUGGACCUUGUAAACUAUAAUACUACCAUGAAAUUAAACACUAUUAUACAGUAAUAAACACUGAUUGAUUCACUGUUAAACUUAA